AAGGAUAUGAGGAUACUCUCCCCAAAUGAUCGAAUCUGAUUCGAACUAAGCGUUUAUGCUCGAAAGAGCCAAGCCAGAAAUCUGAUCCUG
rfam:Physcomitrella patens subsp. patens PHYPAscaffold_25 genomic scaffold, whole genome shotgun sequence.